rnacentral:rRNA from 1 species
UCAUUUAGAGNAAGUAAAAGUCGUAACAAGGUCUCCGUUGGUGAACCAGCGGAGGGAUCAUUACCGAGUUUACAACUCCCAAACCCCUGUGAACAUACCAAUUGUUGCCUCGGCGGAUCAGCCCGCUCCCGGUAAAACGGGACGGCCCGCCAGAGGACCCCUAAACUCUGUUUCUAUAUGUAACUUCUGAGUAAAACCAUAAAUAAAUCAAAACUUUCAACAACGGAUCUCUUGGUUCUGGCAUCGAUGAAGAACGCAGCAAAAUGCGAUAAGUAAUGUGAAUUGCAGAAUUCAGUGAAUCAUCGAAUCUUUGAACGCACAUUGCGCCCGCCAGUAUUCUGGCGGGCAUGCCUGUUCGAGCGUCAUUUCAACCCUCAAGCCCAGCUUGGUGUUGGGACUCGCGAGUCAAAUCGCGUUCCCCAAAUUGAUUGGCGGUCACGUCGAGCUUCCAUAGCGUAGUAGUAAAACCCUCGUUACUGGUAAUCGUCGCGGCCACGCCGUUAAACCCCAACUUCUGAAUGUUGACCUCGGAUCAGGUAGGAAU